UACGGAGGGUGCAAGCGUUAUCCGGAUUCACUGGGUUUAAAGGGUGCGUAGGAGGGCAGGUAAGUCAGUGGUGAAAUCUCCGAGCUUAACUUGGAAACUGCCAUUGAUACUAUUGAUCUUGAAUUUUGUUGAGGUAGGCGGAAUAAGUCAUGUAGCGGUGAAAUGCAUAGAUAUGACUUAGAACACCAAUUGCGAAGGCAGCUUGCUAAACAAAUAUUGACGCUGAGGCACGAAAGCGUGGGGAUCAAACAGG
rnacentral:rRNA from 1 species